UGGUGGAGGUCAGGAUUAUAAUGGCGGGAAACUCACUGCUAUAGGAUUUUCCUUAUGAUGACUUGUCGUGAGCGUCUACUAGUGACAUUAAAAUCAAUUACCCCGGGAAUGGAAGUCUUUGAUAGAGAAUCUUGAUCAGAAACAACGGGACGCAGUAGAGAGCUUGGAACAAAAUGGGUGUUCAAUCAAGGAAACUAAAAAAGCUAUUUCCAUCUUUGAACAAAGCAAAGGCCCCGGGAGGUUUUGUGGAACAGACUUGAUGAAGAUAAUUUUAAACGAAAGGGACAAAGAACAUGAGAGUGAAAGUGAUGGAGAAAAAAAGAGCAGCUUGGAGGACGAGACUUCCAAAGAGGACAAGGAGAAUAGUGGUGCUUACGUCUCUAAUGAGGGGCGAUCCUCCAACAACAUACAGACAAAGAAAUGCGACGUUUGCUACAAAUCUACAAGGCCGACCUUAGUUACUAUCAUGUGUGCUGGCUGUAAAGGUUCAUUCAUUGCGAAACGGAAACGACAUUUUAGUGCUAAUUUUUAGUAACAAUAUUCUCAAUAUUCAAUGUUUUCAUUGCUGUGCGAAGUUAAAUGUAUUUGAUCAAACUGUUUUUAACGAAAAGAAAAUUUGGCAGGAGAAAAAAUCCAACAAAUAAUAGUUGCUGUUGUAAGGUAGACACAUAGUAAUCUUAAAAUAACAUGUAAAACGUACGAAUAAGACUUUUAUGCUCGGAUCAUUCUUUAUUCAGGGGAACGAGAACGCGAAGACUUAAAGGUUUAUAGACAGUAAACAGUAUACAAAAUGUUUGUGUGACAGAACACUCCCAUGCUAGAUCUAAGUAAGGUGACAUAACAACUCCCAGAUAGAUCUUAGUAAUGUAUAAGAAUCGAAUACAUAUUUGGAAUUUCGUCAAGAGUCAAUCAGUAGAUUUAACUUUUGAAAUUUAAUUUGAUUUAACCAUAAACCAGGUUAAAACAGUUUUACCAACUUCUUUUAAAAUACUAUUCCUGUCAUUGAACAACAGAUAGAUAUCAAGGUAAAAUAGGGCCUCCUAAGUUUAGAGCAAAACUGUAAAUUUACAUAAUUCAGCAUUAUGCACGUUCUGGCAUGCUCUUGUUAAGUAUUUACCUCCAUACGCUGUACGUAUGCUGUUUAUGAGAGAGAAAGGAACGUAAGUUCUGAUAUCGAAAAGUCCGUAUUGGGGAAUUUUCAACGUUUGCAUUACAACGAAGCUUUUUAAUUUACAGGAGAAAGAUCAUGAAGAACAUUAUGAUGUUAAAAGAUGAGUUACUGCUGGUUUUAGGCUUUUUUCAGCUUAGGAAGAUCACAAAAAGUGACAAAUAUCUUUCAGCAGAAUAAAAAAAUAAAUAGUUUUUGAACAAUAUCACCAGUGAUAUCGAAUUCACGAACAAUGCCUUCAUUUGUGGUAGGACAACUUUCACUUUUCCACUCAUAGUCAGAUAUAUUAUUAAAGAUGGCAUCAAGAAAUGCUUAAUAAUAAUCUCAAUCGCCUGAAAGCAUCAGAAACACAUCUUCAAUGUUUUGCGCUGAAUGGAAAGACAUCUUGAAUACAGAACAGUAUGUAAUUGUAUAUCGAUAUUGAAUUCUUACAUUACUAAAACGUGUCUUGUGUCGUUGCCUUAAUUUGUAUUUGUUAUAUCCUACUAUAAUAAUAUGGUCACUUAAAUAUAUCAUAUUCGAGAUGAAUUUAAAAAACUAUAUAAAUUACAAUGUAUUCGCUGUUGAACUCUAUAUUAGCGAGGUCUGAUUUUGUUAAAACUAAAUGUUGUUUCAUAUGUAUCGCGAGUUCACUUUGUUCACGUUAGUUCGUGAGAUGAUUGGACUGCAAGAUCAAAUAACUAGGAUAGAUCGCUAAACUUCAUUCAAACUGCGGUGAGAUGUCUGUAAAUGUCCCCUGUUGCGAAUUUAAGUUCAGAAAUCACGUCUGCUGAAAACAGCAUUCAUGGUAUUUAUUAAUGUUAAUAUAUGAGAAAAGAGUGAUUGAACAUGUUGAUUUGUAUAUAUUCAGAUAUAUUGUUUUAGAUAAAAAAAAAUGUCAAUCUCCAAAGAAAAUUCCAACAUUUGUCGGUUAUGUCAAUUAAAAAGGACUUGUUUAAAGUACGUUUUAUGCUGCCUGUAACUGUUUACAAUUUGUGAAACUAUUCAAGUACUAUUGUCAAAACCGUCUUACAUUACACGGUUUCACAUUACAAUCCGUCGUAUGUCGUGUUUUAUAUAAAAAAAUAUAUAUAUAUAGUGGUUUAUAGGAGACUUACCUCGAGAUGGCGCAUCUAAUCAAGUACUGUAUAAAGGAAUGGUUACCGUUUUGGCAAAAUGUAUUAAAGCAACAGUUCUAUAUACAUAAUAUAUACGCAGUAGCAGUUUUAUA